rnacentral:misc_RNA from 1 species
GAAAUGCGAUACGUAAUGCGAAUUGCAGAAUUCAGUGAAUCAUCAAAUCUUUGAACGCAAAUUGCGCUCUUGGGAUAGGCCUGAGAGCACGCCUCUUUGAGUAUCGAUUCCACCACCUCCAGAACAAACUUUGUUUUGACACUGGGAAUUUGAGUGUUUCAUAUCUCUUUGUUGAGAUGUGUCACUUGAAGCGUAAUGGAAUUGAGGGUCUGCGAAACUGCUGUUGAAUAUUCACAAGCUGAAGUGGACUUGAACAUGGAUAAAUUUCCAAUGAUCAAUAAGCUUUGGCUAUUUUGAUAUCAGCGGAAAUCUAAGUUUUGCAAACAAAAAGCCCUCUCCUAACUAAAUAUCUUAACAAUCUAAGAAUUAGAUCUCAAAUGAAGCGAGACAACCCGCUGAA